GACGAACGCUGGCGGCGUGCUUAACACAUGCAAGUCGAACGGAAAGGCCCUGCUUUUGUGGGGUGCUCGAGUGGCGAACGGGUGAGUAACACGUGAGUAACCUGCCCUUGACUUUGGGAUAACUUCAGGAAACUGGGGCUAAUACCGGAUAGGAGCUCCUGCUGCAUGGUGGGGUUUGGAAAGUUUCGGCGGUUGGGGAUGGACUCGCGGCUUAUCAGCUUGUUGGUGGGGUAGUGGCUUACCAAGGCUUUGACGGGUAGCCGGCCUGAGAGGGUGACCGGCCACAUUGGGACUGAGAUACGGCCCAGACUCCUACGGGAGGCAGCAGUGGGGUAUAUUGCACAAUGGGCGGAAGCCUGAUGCAGCAACGCCGCGUGCGGGAUGACGGCCUUCGGGUUGUAAACCGCUUUCGCCUGUGACGAAGCGUGAGUGACGGUAAUGGGUAAAGAAGCACCGGCUAACUACGUG
rnacentral:rRNA from 1 species